rnacentral:rRNA from 1 species
UACGUAGGGCGCAAGCGUUGUCCGGAAUUAUUGGGCGUAAAGAGCUCGUAGGCGGCCUGUUACGUCUGCUGUGAAAUCCCGGGGCUUAACCCCGGGCGUGCAGUGGAUACGGGCAGACUAGAGUGCGGUAGGGGAGAUUGGAAUUCCUGGUGUAGCGGUGGAAUGCGCAGAUAUCAGGAGGAACACCGAUGGCGAAGGCAGAUCUCUGGGCCGUAACUGACGCUGAGGAGCGAAAGCGUGGGGAGCGAACAGG